rnacentral:rRNA from 1 species
UGCAGUCGAGGGGCAGCGAGGGCGUAGCAAUACGCCUGUCGGCGACCGGCGCACUGGUGAGUAACACGUAUGCGACCUGCCCCCUACAGGGGUAUAACCCGUAGAAAUGCGGACUAAUCCCCCAUAGUCCUGGGUGCUGCAUGGCAUUCAGGGGAAAGGCCAGCCGGUAGGGGAUGGGCAUGCGGCGCAUUAGCUAGUUGGCGGGGCAACGGCCCACCAAGGCGACGAUGCGUAGGGGUUCUGAGAGGAAGGUCCCCCACACUGGUACUGAGACACGGACCAGACUCCUACGGGAGGCAGCAGUGAGGAAUAUUGGUCAAUGGGCGCAGGCCUGAACCAGCCAAGUCGCGUGAGGGAAGACGGUCCUACGGAUUGUAAACCUCUUUUGUCGGGGAGUAACGUGCGGGACGCGUCCCGUAUUGAGAGUACCCGAAGAAAAAGCAUCGGCUAACUCCGUGCCAGCAGCCGCGGUAAUACGGAGGAUGCGAGCGUUAUCCGGAUUUAUUGGGUUUAAAGGGUGCGCAGGCGGCGCGCCAAGUCAGCGGUCAAAGUUCCGGGCUCAACCCGGUGUCGCCGUUGAAACUGGCGUGCUCGAGUGCGUGCGAGGAAGGCGGAAUGCGUUGUGUAGCGGUGAAAUGCAUAGAUAUGACGCAGAACUCCGAUUGCGAAGGCAGCUUUCCAGCGCGCUACUGACGCUGAGGCACGAAAGCGUGGGGAUCGAACAGGAUU